UUCUAAGAAGAGAGAAAGAAAUGAGUGAUGGAUAUGAUAAUGGAGGAGAUUUUGGUGUGGCUCGAAAUCAAACACGAACCCUUUAUUUACACUAGCACUGUACGGUCUCCUCCCUUCAAACUGUACUCUUCUGUACUGCCACACCCACGCUGACUUAGCUGCAAAGGCAUACCGAUGGGAAUUUCUGGAGCCACAGUUCUCACGUGGUCUUACAACGUCUCUUCCUCCCUCCGUUCGGCUCCACGCUUCUCAACCACCGAAGCUAGGAGAUUCAAGGUGUGGUGUGGCUCUGAUAAAACCCAGAAGGAAAAUCAAAUGAUCAUAUCAGUAACUGGAGCAACGGGCUUUAUAGGUAAAAGAUUGGUGCAAAGGCUGCAUGCAGACAAUCAUAGAGUUCGUGUAUUGACGCGCUCUAAAUCCAAGGCAGAACAAAUUUUUCCGGCAAAAGACUUUCCCGGCGUCAAGAUAGCAGAUGAGUCAGAAUGGAAAGACUGCAUUCAUGGCUCAACUGGUGUUGUGAAUUUGGCUGGCAUGCCCAUAAGUACGAGAUGGUCUUCUGAGAUUAAAAAAGAGAUCAAGGAGAGCAGAAUCAGAGUUACAUCCAAGGUUGUAGAAUGCAUAAACAGUGCACCAGAUGAUAUUCGGCCGAAAGUUUUAGUCAGUGCAACAGCUGUUGGUUAUUAUGGCACCAGUGAGGCCAAAGUGUUUGAUGAACAAAGUCCCUCAGGAAAGGAUUACUUGGCUGAGGUUUGUAGGGAAUGGGAAUCAACGGCUCUUAAAGUAAAUGGAGAUGUAAGAUUAACUCUAAUUCGUAUUGGUGUUGUCCUUGGCAAAAAUGGUGGAGCACUAGCUAAAAUGGUCCCACUUUUUAUGAUGUUUGCUGGUGGUCCUCUGGGCUCCGGAAGACAGUGGUUCUCUUGGAUUCAUUUGGAUGACAUUGUCAAUUUAGUAUACGAAGCAUUAUCAAAUCCAUGUUAUAAAGGAGUUAUCAAUGGAACUGCACCAAACCCAGUCAGAUUGGCAGAAUUGUGUGAACAACUGGGAAGUGUCGUUGGUCGCCCAUCGUGGCUGCCUGUGCCUGAUUUUGCCCUCAAAGCUGUCCUUGGAGAAGGUGCCUCCGUGGUUUUGGAAGGGCAAAAGGUUCUGCCAACAAAAGCCAAGGAGUUGGGUUUCCCUUUCAAAUAUCGUUAUGUGAAAGAUGCCCUCAGAGCAAUUCUUUCAUAAACACACAGUUUUGACAUUACCAACUUCUAUAUUCUUUAUUCUUUUGAUUCAGGGCAUUGGCAUUUCCAGAUAUCAAAGGCAUCACCAAGGAAGUUUCCCAAUUCCAACAAGACGUGAAAUCAAAACCACUAAAUCUAAAUGUUUUAAAGCAGCAGCAGAGUUACCUUUCUUAUUUCUGUAGUACGGUAUAC